rnacentral:rRNA from 1 species
AUUGAACGCUGGCGGCAUGCUUUACACGUGCAAGUCGAACGGUAACAGGGAGCUUGCUCCGCUGACGAGUGGCGAACGGGUGAGUAAUGCGUCGGAACGUGCCGAGUAGUGGGGGAUAACGCAUCGAAAGGUGUGCUAAUACCGCAUACGUACUGAGGUAGAAAGUGGGGGACCUUCGGGCCUCACGCUAUUCGAGCGGCCAACGUCUGAUUAGCUAGUUGGUGAGGUAAAGGCUCACCAAGGCGACGAUCAGUAGCGGGUCUGAGAGGAUGAUCCGCCACACUGGGACUGAAACACGGCCCAGACUCCUACGGGAGGCAGCAGUGGGGAAUUUUGGACAAUGGGCGCAAGCCUGAUCCAGCCAUGCCGCGUGUCUGAAGAAGGCCUUCGGGUUGUAAGGGACUUUUGUCGGGGAGGAAAUCCCCAGCGCUAAUACCGCUGGGGGAUGACAGUACCUGAAGAAUAAGCACCGGCUAACUACGUGCCAGCAGCCGCAGUAAAAC